CAGGCUUAACACAUGCAAGUCGAGGGGCAGCAUGGUCUUAGCUUGCUAAGGCCGAUGGCGACCGGCGCACGGGUGAGUAACACGUAUCCAACCUGCCGUCUACUCUUGGACAGCCUUCUGAAAGGAAGAUUAAUACAAGAUGGCAUCAUGAGUCCGCAUGUUCACAUGAUUAAAGGUAUUCCGGUAGACAAUGGGGAUGCGUUCCAUUAUAUAGUAGGCGGGGUAACGGCCCACCUAGUCUUCGAUGGAUAGGGGUUCUGAGAGGAAGGUCCCCCACAUUGGAACUGAGACACGGUCCACACUCCUACGGGAGGCAGCAGUGAGGAAUAUUGGUCAAUGGGCGAGAGCCUGAACCAGCCAAGUAGCGUGAAGGAUGACUGCCCUAUGGGUUGUAAACUUCUUUUAUAAAAGAAUAAAGUCGGGUAUGCAUACCCGUUUGCAUGUACUUUAUGAAUAAGGAUCGGCUAACUCCGUGCCAGCAGCCGCGGGAAUACCGAGGAUCCGAGCGUUAUCCGGAUUUAUUGUGUUUAAAGGGAGCGUACAUGGAUGUUUAAUUCAAUUGUGAAAGUUUGCGGCUCACCCCUAAAAUUGCACUUGAUACUGUAUAUCUUGAGUGCACUUGAUGCAGGCGGAAUUCAUGAUGUAUCGGUGAAAUGCUUAAAUAUCACGAAAAACUCCGAUUGCGAAUGCACCCUGCUAAGCUGCAACUGACAUUGAGGCUCGAAAGUGUGGGUAUCAAACAGGAUUAGAUACCCUGGUAGUCCACACGGUAAACGAUGAAUACUCGCUGUUUGCGAUAUACAGCAAGCGGCCAAGCGAAAGCGUUAAGUAUUCCACCUGGGGAGUACGCCGGCAACGGUGAAACUCAAAGGAAUUGACGGGGGCCCGCACAAGCGGAGGAACAUGUGGUUUAAUUCGAUGAUACGCGAGGAACCUUACCCGGGCUUAAAUUGCAGAUGAAUUACGGUGAAAGCCGUAAGCCGCAAGGCAUCUGUGAAGGUGCUGCAUGGUUGUCGUCAGCUCGUGCCGUGAGGUGUCGGCUUAAGUGCCAUAACGAGCGCAACCCUUGUUGUCAGUUACUAACAGGUUCCGCUGAGGACUCUGACAAGACUGCCAUCGUAAGAUGUGAGGAAGGUGGGGAUGACGUCAAAUCAGCACGGCCCUUACGUCCGGGGCUACACACGUGUUACAAUGGGGGGGUACAGAGGGCCGCUACCACGCGAGUGGAUGCCAAUCCCAAAAACCUCUCUCAGUUCGGACUGGAGUCUGCAACCCGACUCCACGAAGCUGGAUUCGCUAGUAAUCGCGCAUCAGCCACGGCGCGGUGAAUACGUUCCCGGGCCUUGUACACACCGCCCGUCAAGCCAUGGGAGCCGGGGGUACCUGAAGUGCGUAACCGCGAGGAGCGCCCUAGGGUAAAACUGGUGACUGGGGCUAAGUC
rnacentral:rRNA from 1 species